UAUACAUGUGUGUACAUAUAUAUACACAUAUAUAUGUGUAUAUAUAUAUAUAUAUAUUACUAUUUGAUUUGCUCUGUUUCUCUGGAUAGCCAUGAUUAGUUAUAUAGGCACUAAUGGAAAGAACUUCUGACAGACAGAAAGAUCUGGUUUCUGUUGGUUUGAACUGUGUACCAAUCUGCAAACUGAUAACCAGCAUCUCCACAGCUAGGCCUGACCACAUAUAGGGUGUGACAAAGUGCCUAGCCUUCUUUCUACAAUCCAUACCCCCAAAUCAGAUGGGUUACUUUGUCUUCAUAACUUCUUAUCUUUCAAAUAAGAAGUUUACCAACUUCUAGCAAGUUAGUACUCUGAUCUAAGAGGUUGCUUGCUGCACAAAUAGUCAAAUCUUUCAAUAUAACUGUCUUGGGGCAGGGUAGGGGAAGCAUCUACAUGGGUGGUUAAAGCUGCCACUUUUUCUCACUGGACCUCUGUGCAUCUCAGGAAACUCUUUAAAAGGACCAGAGCAAAAGGCAAGACUGUGCAAGGCCAAAGCUGUGCCUCCCAGGUCCCUAGCUGGACUACUAAAGCUGCUCAAGAUUAAGGUAGAUGCUUAUCAUCAGUAGGUGAGAUAGCUUUUGAAAACAUACACAUUCUGUAUGUCUUUGUUUCAAAUUUGUUUUUUAAAAAACUGUAUUCUCUGGCUGUCUCUCAACUAUGUCAUAAAUAGCAUUCAAGAACCUGAAAAGGAUGGUGUGUUUUUAGCUCUCUGCUCCCAUUCCUGAAGAAAGAAGGAAGAAUUUGUGAACAAGAGCAUCUCAC